AGGCAGCAGUGGGGAAUAUUGCACAAUGGGCGCAAGCCUGAUGCAGCCAUACCGCGUGUAUGAAGAAGGCCUUCGGGUUGUAAAGUACUUUCAGCAGUGAGGAAGGUGGGUAUGUUAAUAGCAUAUUCAUUUGACGUUAGCUGCAGAAGAAGCACCGGCUAACUCCGUGCCAGCAGCCGCGGUAAUACGGAGGGUGCGAGCGUUAAUCGGAAUUACUGGGCGUAAAGCGCAUGCAGGUGGUUUGUUAAGUCAGAUGUGAAAGCCCGGGGCUCAACCUCGGAAUUGCAUUUGAAACUGGCAAACUAGAGUACUGUAGAGGGGGUAGGAAUUUCAGGUGUAGCGGUGAAAUGCGUAGAGAUCUGAAGGAAUACCGGUGGCGAAGGCGGCCCCCUCGGACAGAUACUGACACUCAGAUGCGAAAGCGUGGGGAGCAAACAGGAUUAGAUACCCUGGUAG
rnacentral:rRNA from 1 species